rnacentral:rRNA from 1 species
CCUACGGGUGGCAGCAGUCGAGAAUCAUUCACAAUGGGGGAAACCCUGAUGGUGCGACGCCGCGUGGGGGAAUGAAGGUCUUCGGAUUGUAAACCCCUGUCAUGUGGGAGCAAGUUAAAAAGAUAGUACCACAAGAGGAAGAGACGACUAACUCUGUACCAGCAGCCGCGGUAAUACAGAAGUCUCAAGCGUUGUUCGGAAUCACUGGGCGUAAAGCGUGCGGAGGCUGUUUCGUAAGUCGUGGGUGAAAGGCGCGGGCUCAACCCGCGAACGGCCCAUGAUACUGAGAGACUAGAGUAAGGGAGGGGGAAGCGGAAUUCUCGGUGUAGCAGUGAAAUGCGUAGAUAUCGAGAGGAACACUAGUGGCGAAGGCGGGUUCCUGGACAUUAACUGACGCUGAGGCACGAAGGCCUGGGGAGCGAAAGGGAUUAGAUACCCCGGUAGUC